AGUGAACGCUGGCGGUAGGCCUAACACAUGCAAGUCGAACGGCAGCACAGGAGAGCUUGCUCUCUGGGUGGCGAGUGGCGGACGGGUGAGGAAUACAUCGGAAUCUACUUUUUCGUGGGGGAUAACGUAGGGAAACUUACGCUAAUACCGCAUACGACCUACGGGUGAAAGCAGGGGAUCUUCGGACCUUGCGCGAUUGAAUGAGCCGAUGUCGGAUUAGCUAGUUGGCAGGGUAAAGGCCCACCAAGGCGACGAUCCGUAGCUGGUCUGAGAGGAUGAUCAGCCACACUGGAACUGAGACACGGUCCAGACUCCUACGGGAGGCAGCAGUGGGGAAUAUUGGACAAUGGGCGCAAGCCUGAUCCAGCCAUACCGCGUGGGUGAAGAAGGCCUUCGGGUUGUAAAGCCCUUUUGUUGGGAAAGAAAUCCAGCUGGUUAACACCCGGUUGGGAUGACGGUACCCAAAGAAUAAGCACCGGCUAACUUCGUGCCAGCAGCCGCCGUAA
rnacentral:rRNA from 1 species